rnacentral:rRNA from 1 species
CCUACGGGUGGCAGCAGUGAGGAAUAUUGGUCAAUGGGCGCAAGUCUGAACCAGCCAAGUCGCGUGAGGGAAGACGGUCCUAUGGAUUGUAAACUGCUUUUGUCGGGGAGCAAAAGACGCCACGCGUGGCGUUCCGAGAGUACCCCAAGAAAAAGCAUCGGCUAACUCCGUGCGAGCAGCCGCGGUAAUACGGAGGAUGCGAGCGUUAUCCGGUUUUUUUGGGUGUAAGGGGUGAGCAGGCGGAAGAUCAAGUCGGCGGUAAAAUUGAGGGGCUCAACCUCUUCAGGCCGUUGAAACUGGUGUUCUUGAGUGAGCGAGAAGUAUGCGGAAUGCGUGGUGUAGCGGUGAAAUGCAUAGAUAUCACGCAGAACUCCGAUUGCGAAGGCAGCAUACCGGCGCUCAACUGACGCUCAUGCACGAAAGUGUGGGUAUCGAACAGGAUUAGAUACCCCUGUAGUC